UGGGGAAUAUUGCACAAUGGAGGGAACUCUGAUGCAGCGACGCCGCGUGAGUGAUGAAGGAAUUCGUUUCGUAAAACUCUGUUCUAUGGGGAGAAAAGGACUGUACCAUAGGAGAAAGCUCCGGCUAAAUACGUGCCAGCAGCCGCGGUAAUACGUAUGGAGCGAGCGUUGUCCGGAAUUAUUGGGCGUAAAGGGUGCGCAGGCGGCUUUACAAGUUGGAUGUGAAAUAUUGUGGCUCAACCACAAACGUGCAUCCAAAACUGCAAAGCUUGAGUUAAGGAGAGGUAAGUGGAAUUCCUGGUGUAGCGGUGGAAUGCGUAGAUAUCAGGAGGAAUACCGGUGGCGAAGGCGACUUACUGGACUUAAACUGACGCUCAGGCACGAAAGCGUGGGGAGCAAACAGG
rnacentral:rRNA from 1 species